UGUAUUUUUAAUUUUAGUUUCUUGUGUACAAUUUGGAAAUUAGUAUGGCGUUUAUUAUCACUGAACUAGUAUAUAUUUGUUUAGGGGCCAGCUGAAGGACGCCUCCGGGUGCGGGAAUUUCUCGCUACAUUGAAGACCUGUUGGUGACCUUCUGCUGUUGUUUUUUUCUAUGGUCGGGUUGUUGUCUCUUUGGCACAUUCCCCAUUUCCAUUCUCAAUUUU
rnacentral:lncRNA from 1 species